UGCCUGCCCUGUGACUUGUUAGUUUAACGGCCGCGGUAUUUUGACCGUGCAAAGGUAGCGUAAUCACUUGUCUUUUAAAUGGAGACCAGUAUGAAUGGCACAACGAGGGCCAAGCUGUCUCCUUUUUCUAGUCAAUGAAAUUGAUCCUCCUGUGCAGAAGCAGGAAUAAUUACAUAAGACGAGAAGACCCUAUGGAGCUUCAGACACAAGAUAGCUCAUGUUAAGAAACCAAAUUAAUGGAAGAAACAAAAUGAUUUCUAUCCUAAUGUCUUUGGUUGGGGCGACCAUGGAGCAACAAAAAUCCCCCAUGUGGAAUAGGGCCUUCUCCCUUAAAGCUAGAGCCACAGCUCCUGCAAACAGAACAUCUGACCAACAAGAUCCGGCAAAGCCGAUCAACGGACCAAGUUACCCUAGGGAUAACAGCGCAAUCCCCUUUUAGAGCCCAUAUCGACAAGGGGGUUUACGACCUCGAUGUUGGAUCAGGACAUCCUAAUGGUGCAGCCGCUAUUAAGGGUUUGUUUGUUCAACAAUUAAAGUCCUACGUGAU
rnacentral:rRNA from 1 species